AAAAUGAGGUGCAGAAGAUGCCACCAUAGAAUGAAGCUAAUACUAAAUGCAAACAAAAUAGACUACUGUGAAUGGGUCUGCAGAAGGCAAACACACAGAGGAAGAUCAACAACCAAGUCGCCAAGGUCUGGAUCUUUGUUUGAGAGAUCAAAAUGUACCCUAUUCAAUUGGAUGAAAUUCAUCUACAGAUUUGCACAAGGGCUUCGCUUGAGGCAAAUUGAUAUGCUCAGGGAAGGGAUUACUGGAAGUUCUCGAACACUCUCCAAGAUGGCAAAAACACUGAGGAGAGUCUGUCGCCACUCAAUGAAGGCAUAUAUCAGAAGAAAGGGCCAAGUCGUUGGACGACACAGGGAAUUUGUCAUGAUUGAUGAGAGCAACUUCCGUCAUAAACGAAAGUAUGGACGAGGAAGGUUUGCACAGACAUGGGCUCGAAGAAAGUGGGUGUUCAGG